rnacentral:rRNA from 1 species
GCAUAUCAAUAAGCGGAGGAAAAGAAACCAACAGGGAUUGCCUUAGUAACGGCGAGUGAAGCGGCAACAGCUCAAAUUUGAAAUCUGGUCCCCUUUGGGGGCCCGAGUUGUAAUUUGAAGAGGAUGCUUUUGGCGAGGCGCCGUCCGAGUUCCCUGGAACGGGACGCCGCAGAGGGUGAGAGCCCCGUACGGUCGGACGCCGAGCCUCUGUAAAGCUCCUUCGACGAGUCGAGUAGUUUGGGAAUGCUGCUCAAAAUGGGAGGUAAACCCCUUCUAAAGCUAAAUACUGGCCAGAGACCGAUAGCGCACAAGUAGAGUGAUCGAAAGAUGAAAAGCACUUUGAAAAGAGAGUUAAAAAGCACGUGAAAUUGUUAAAAGGGAAGCGCUUGCGACCAGACUUGCGCCCGUCGGAUCAACCGUCGCUUGCGGCGGCGCACUCCGGCGGGCUCAGGCCAGCAUCAGUUCGUCCGGGGGGAGAAAGGCGGCGGGAAUGUGGCUCUUCGGAGUGUUAUAGCCCGCCGUGUAAUACCCUCGGGUGGACUGAGGACCGCGCGUAUGCAAGGAUGCUGGCGUAAUGGUCGUCAGCGACCCGUCUUGAAACACGGACCAAGGAGUCGUCCUAAUAUGCGAGUGUACGGGUGUCAAACCCCUGCGCGUAAUGAAAGUGAACGGAGGUGAGAGCUUCGGCGCAUCAUCGACCGAUCCUGAUGUUCUCGGAUGGAUUUGAGUAAGAGCAUAUUGGGCCGGACCCGAAAGAAGGUGAACUAUGCCUGUGUAGGGUAAAGCCAGAGGAAACUUGGUGGAGGCUCGCAGCGGUUCUGACGUGCAAAUCGAUCGUCAAACAUGGGCAUGGGGGCGAAAGACUAAUCGA